UACGAAGGGGGCGAGCGUUGUUCGGAAUUACUGGGCGUAAAGGGCGCGCAGGCGGCUCUGCAAGUCAGAUGUGAAAGCCCCGGGCUUAACCUGGGAAUUGCAUUUGAUACUCUGGAGCUUGAGUGUGGGAGAGGAGAGUGGAAUUCCCAGUGUAGAGGUGAAAUUCGUAGAUAUUCGCAAGAACACCAGUGGCGAAGGCGGCUCACUGGCCCGAUACUGACGCUGAGGCACGAAAGCGUGGGGAGCAAACAGG
rnacentral:rRNA from 1 species